UACGUAGGGACCGAGCGUUGUCCGGAUUCAUUGGGCGUAAAGAGCUCGUAGGCGGCUGUUCAAGUCGAGCGUGAAAACUCGGAGCUCAACUCCGAGCCUGCGUUCGAUAUUGGACGGCUAGAGUCUGGUAGGGGGAUCUGGAAUUCCUGGUGUAGCGGUGGAAUGCGCAGAUAUCAGGAGGAACACCGGUGGCGAAGGCGGGAUCCUGGGCCAGUACUGACGCUGAGGAGCGAAAGCGUGGGGAGCAAACAGG
rnacentral:rRNA from 1 species